ensembl:lncRNA
CUGGUGCUCGGAAGCUUCUUCUGCUGAUUAGCAUCUAGAUGGCAGAUUUCAGAGCGACUUCAAAUGGCUCAUGAUGCCGGAGACACACGGGACGACCAGCGUGAGACGUUACAAGAGCCAGAGAGAGACAGAGAGAGCAUGAAUUUCUAGACAUCUGCACACACAGGCGGUCUGAACACAUCACAAACAUACAACCACCACUCUUACAGAUAGAAACACAGACCUAAAUAACAAUGAUAAUCAAUUAAACAUGAAUAAGGUUAUUUUAUCGAAUGCAACAGUGCAGUAUCGCUAUUACUAAUGCUCUUAUAAUUAUAUUGUUAUUAUGAGGGAAAGGUGAUGUCCAAACACUUUUUGCCAUCAAUAUCAAGAUUUUAGGUAAAAAAAUCUACAGCAACACUGCAUUUUAAUGUGUCCUUGCUGCAUGUUACAUGUAUUUACUAUAGUAAAAACCCUAUAUUAAGUUCACUACUUCUGCUCAGUGCUUCUUUGUGUAAUUGCACUGCAACAAAGGACAAAUUUAAAUAAAGUGUGAGCAAAUUUACAUAUUUGCAUAUGGGAACAUAUAUAUUUUAUAUUUCCUGUAGCUAUUUGCCAUUGUUUUCAUUGUAUAAUUCUUGUAGUUUAAUUGAAUAAUUAUUGUGUACUGAAAUUCUUUUAGUGUAGUGAAGUGCAGUUUUUGUAAUUGUAGUACACUGUAGUUUAUGUAAUCCUUGUAGUGUAAUUGUAGUAUAAUUCUUGUAAUUAUGCUACAAUUAAAAUUGUAAAAACAAUUCUGUAGUGUCGUGUAGUAUAAUUCUUUAAGUGUAAUUGUAGAUAAUGUACGUCUUGUUGUAUCAUUCUUGUAGUGUAAUUUUUGUAGUGUAUUAUAAUUCUUGUGGUAUAAUUGUAGUGUAAUUAUUGUAGUAUAACUAUGAUAUAAAUCAUGUAGUUUAAUUGUAGUAUAGUUUAGUUAUUGUUGCAUAAUUAUUGUAGUGUAAUUCUUGUAGUAUAAUUGUACCAUAAUUUUUGUAAUUAUAAUACAAUUACAAUUGUAAAAUUCCUGUAGUGUAGUGUAGUAUAAUACUUUAAAUGUAAUUGUAGAUAAUGCACUUCUUGUAGUAUAAUUCUAAUAGUGUAGUUCUUGUAGUAUAAUUAUUGUAGUGUAAUUCAUAUAUUGUAUUAUAUUUUUUGUGGUAUAAUUGUAGUGUAAUUAUUGUAGUAUAACUAUAGUAUAAAUCAUGUAGUUUAAUUGUAGUAUAGUGUAGUUAUUGUUGCAUAAUUGUAGUAUAAUUGUACAAUAAUUCUUGUAAUUACAAUACAAUUACAAUUGUAAAAUUACUGUAGUGUAGUGUAGUAUAAUUAUUCAAGUGUAAUUGUAGAUAAUGUAGUUCUUGUAGUAUAAUUCUUAUAGUGUAGCUCUUGUAGUAUAAUUCUUAUAGUGUAGUUCUUGUAGUAUAAUUCUUUCAGGGUAGUGUAAUUAUUGUAGUUUAAUUGUAAUAUAAUUCUUGUAAUGUAACUCUUGUAGUGUAAUUAUUGUAGUGUAAUUGUAGUAUAGUCCAGUUUCUGUAGUUUAAACCUUUAGUGU